UACGUAGGGCCGAGCGUUGCCCGGAAUUAUUGGGCGUAAAGAGCUCGUAGGCGGUUUGUCGCGUCUGCUGUGAAAUCCCGAGGCUCAACCUCGGGUCUGCAGUGGGUACGGGCAGACUGGAGUGCGGUAGGGGAGAAUGGAAUUCCUGGUGUAGCGGUGGAAUGCGCAGAUAUCAGGAGGAACACCGGUGGCGAAGGCAAUCCC
rnacentral:rRNA from 1 species